CCUUCGUCAUUCUCCUCGCCGAAAGCCUCUCGCCGCGCCCUCCCUCCCCGCGACGGUCUCCCUCGCCGUACCGAUCCUCCCUCCCUCGCCUCCCUUGCCGCGACGGUCUCCCUCGCCGCUCCCGUGCGUCCCUCCGUUUCCGCGACGGUCUCCCACGCCGCCCCCGUGUGUCCCUCCGUUGCCGCGACCAAGUUAGGUUUUCUCAUUAUGUUAUUUGCCUUGUCCUACUUGCUCUCUCUACUCGCUGCGCCCUCCCUCACCGUGACGCUCUCCCUCGUCGCACUGAGCCUCCUCUCUUGCCGCGACGAAGUUAGGUUUUCCCUGUUAUGUCCUCCCUCGCCGUGAUGAAGCUUGCCGCGACGAAGCUAGGUUUUCUCAUUGUCCAACUUGCUCUCUCUAUAUAUUUCAGAUGUCUUGAAUUUCAGAGAAUUAAUUUUGUAACUUUAUUUUUUUGGAUAGAUAGGAGCAACAGAAUGAGAAAUUGCCAAUGAAGAUCUCUCAGAGAAUUAAUUUUGUAACUUUGUUUUUUUGGAUAGAUAGGAGCAACAGAAUGAGAAAUUGCCAAUGAAGAUCUCUCUGUUUGACUUAUUUUUCCCCAAAACUUUGUUAGUUAGUUGAAGGAUGUGGGAGUCGCUGAAGACAAUGUCGCGUCUAAUGCUGCAUCAGUUAUUUUUUUUUAGGCUACAGACUUUCACAGAUAGUUGAUGCUGUAUCACUAGCCAAAGCGACAAUGGCAAGAGUUUACCAAAACUUGGCAUCGGCAGUGGCAUACAAUGUAGUCGCCAUCCCCAUUGCUGUAGGAAUUUUGCUCCCAAAAUAUGAUUUUGUCAUGACACCUUCUCUUUUUGGGGAUUGAUGGCAUUGAGCUCAAUUUUCGUCGUUGGCAACUCAUUGUUGCUGCAGCUUCAUGGAUCAUCCUCUAGGAAAGAUAAUUGCUCAAGAGGAAAUGUCAGAAAAUAUUCUUCUCAGUGAACAUAAUAGUUAUAACAUAUUUUUGUUUGGGUCCUAUCAUAGAGGAUAUCUAACGGAGUUGCUGAGUACAUCGGUUGUGGGUGAUUGAUUGGUGGGGUUGUACAAGAAUCAAAUUAUAACAUUAUAAGCUAAACUGUUCAAAGUAUCUGUUGUAAUCCAUUUAUGUAAUAAGUGACUUUCAUUUAUGUAAUUUUCUAUCAAAUAAAUUC